CCUCACCCUUGGCCACCUCAUGGGCAUCCUCCGGCAGUUCUUCACCAAGCUGGGCAUCACCCAGCUGCGCUUCAAGCCGGCCUAUAACCCCUACACAGAGCCCAGCAUGGAGGUGUUCAGCUACCACGAGGGGCUGAAGAAGUGGGUGGAGGUGGGGAACUCUG